AUAUACUUCUCACUUCCAUCAGUGAUCUCCCUCUUUCUCUUCACAAAUUCCCAACUCACAAAAUCUCCAAUUCCAUUUCAAAUCCCUAACUCCCAAUUCACUUCUUCUUCUCAAAUUCAUAAUUCUCAAAUCUAAACUCAACGGCACCUCUUCUCUCUUACGCCGAUUUCUUCCGUCGCGACUGUCAACCGCCAGCUCUGGAACGACGACGAGCUGGUGUCGUCGCUGCCACGCGGCAGCCUGCUCCCUGCUGCUGGAGCAGCAUCUGCUUCGAGGGUGGUUCACGGCGUCUGGUCGACGCUGGCCCGUCCCUCCGUCCAUCGGCUCGUCGUUGCUUCGCAGUCAGCGCCUCCCUCCGUUUCUCUCUCGGCUACUACACAGCGGUGCAGUACUGUUUCCCUUCCCGCCGUUGCCGCGCUGCUGAGACCUUGCCGGCAGCCUCCGCCGGCGUGUUUGCUUCCGCCACCGCUCGUGAGCCAGGCCGCUUCGCCGGGUGGGGUUGGAAACCUUGGGCUGCCAUGUUGCUUCCGAGACCUGGGCCCGCUGCCUUCGGCCCGACGGGCUGAUCGAAACGGCCGUGGAGUCUCGAGGGUUGGGCUGGUGAAAACGAGGCCCAAUAUGCAUGCUUUUGUAAUAGUAUUCAUGUUUCAUCAUUUUCCAUAUUUUUUUGUAAGUUAAUGGAGUUUGUGAUGUAUACAUUUAUUCGAACACCUUGUUCGGAAGAGGCGUCUUCGUAUUCUUUCACCAUAUGCAUUAUAAUUCAUAACCGUUCAUUUGAUUGUUUU